GCUGGGCAUAGUGGCGCAUGCCUGUAAUCCCAGCAGCUGGGGAGGCUAAGGCAGGAGGACCUCAAGUUCAAAGCCAGUCUCAGCAAAAAGUGAAAUGCUAAGUGAGACCCUGUCUCUA
rnacentral:sRNA from 1 species